GUUUUKAAUAUUUUAAAAUUUCCAGUUACGAAAAUUCUUGUUUUUGACAAAAAUUUAAUGAAUAGAUAAAAUUGUUUGUGUUUGUUACCCCCGGGCCCCSAAUGGC
rnacentral:misc_RNA from 1 species